UGGGGGAUAUUGCACAAUGGGCGAAAGCCUGAUGCAGCGACGCCGCGUGGGGGAUGAAGGCCUUCGGGUUGUAAACUUCUUUUGCUCUGAACAAGGCAUGCUAAUGGGUGUGUUGAGUGUAGGGGUUGAUUAGCGCCGGCUAACCACGUGCCAGCAGCCGCGGUAAUACGUAGGGCGCGAGCGUUGUCCGGAAUUAUUGGGCGUAAAGGGCUUGUAGGUGGCUGGUUGCGUCUGUCGUGAAAGCUCAUGGCUUAACUGUGGGUUUGCGGUGGGUACGGGCUGGCUUGAGUGCAGUAGGGGAGGCUGGAAUUCCUGGUGUAGCGGUGGAAUGCGCAGAUAUCAGGAGGAAUACCGGUGGCGAAGGCGGGUCUCUGGGCUGUUACUGACACUGAGGAGCGAAAGCAUGGGGAGCGAACAGG
rnacentral:rRNA from 1 species